rnacentral:rRNA from 1 species
GACGAACGCUGGCGGCGUGCUUAACACAUGCAAGUCGAACGGAAAGGCCUCUUUCGGGUGGUACUCGAGUGGCGAACGGGUGAGUAACACGUGAGUAACCUGCCCUUGACUUUGGGAUAACUUCAGGAAACUGGGGCUAAUACCGGAUAGUAGCUCCUGCUGCAUGGUGGGGGUUGGACAGUUUCGGCGGUUGGGGAUGGACUCGCGGCUUAUCAGCUUGUUGGUGGGGUAGUGGCUUACCAAGGCUUUGACGGGUAGCCGGCCUGAGGGGGUGACCGGCAACACUGGCACCAGGUGACGGCCCAGACCCCUACGGGAGGCAGCAGUGGGAAAUCCUGCACAAUGGGUGGAGGUCCGGUGCAGCAACGCCGUGUCCGUGACGACGGGCUUCGGGUUGGGAGAAGAGUUCGCUCCUGGCGACGCUUUGUGUGACGGUAGUGGGUAGAGAAGCACCGGCUAACUCCGUG